rnacentral:rRNA from 1 species
CCUACGGGAGGCAGCAGUGGGGAAUAUUGGGCAAUGGGCGCAAGCCUGACCCAGCAACGCCGCGUGAAGGAAGAAGGCUUUCGGGUUGUAAACUUCUUUUCUCAGGGACGAAGCAAGUGACGGUACCUGAGGAAUAAGCCACGGCUAACUACGUGCCAGCAGCCGCGGGAAUACGUAGGUGGCAAGCGUUAUCCGGAUUUACUGGGUGUAAAGGGCGUGUAGGCGGGACUGGAAGUCAGAUGUGAAAACCACGGGCUCAACCUGUGGCCUGCAUUUGAAACUGUAGUUCUUGAGUACUGGGGAGGCAGGCGGAAUUCCGGGUGUAGCGGUGAAAUGCGUAGAUAUUAGGAGGAACACCAAGGGCGAAGGCAGUCUGCUGGGCAGCAACUGACGCUGAGGCGCGAAAGCGUGGGGAGCAAACAGGAUUAGAUACCCGGGUAGUC